UGCAGUCGACGGUAGAGAGGUGCUUGCACCUCUUGAGAGUGGCGAACGGGUGAGUAACGCGUUGAUGAUCUACCUUUUGGUUGGGGAUAGCUCAUGGAAACAUGGGGUAAUACCGAAUAAGAUCCUUUUGCUAUGGCGGAGGGAUGAAAGGGGCUUCGGCCUCGCCGAGAGAUGAGUCUGCGUAUGAUUAGCUAGUUGGUGUGGUAAAGGCGCACCAAGGCGACGAUCAUUAGCCGGCCUGAGAGGGUGACCGGCCACAUUGGGACUGAGACACGGCCCAGACUCCUACGGGAGGCAGCAGCUAAGAAUCUUCCGCAAUGGGCGAAAGCCUGACGGAGCGACGCCGCGUGGAUGAAGAAGGCGGAGACGUUGUAAAAUCCUUUUCUCACAGAAGAAUAAGUUCCGGAGGUAAUGCCGGAGCGAUGACGUUAUGUGAGGAAUAAGCACCGGCCAAUUACGUGCCAGCAGCCGCGGUAAUACG
rnacentral:rRNA from 1 species